rnacentral:rRNA from 1 species
CCCUUAGAUGUUCUGGGCUGCACGCGCGCUACACUGACGGAGCCAACGAGUUUCUUCCUUGGCUGAAAAGUCUGGGUAAUCUUGUUAAACUCCGUCGUGCUGGGGAUAGAGCAUUGCAAUUAUUGCUCUUUAACGAGGAAUGCCUAGUAGGCGCAUGUCAUCAGCAUGCGUUGAUUACGUCCCUGCCCUUUGUACACACCGCCCGUCGCUACUACCGAUUGAGUGGCUCAGUGAGGCCUUUGGACCGGCACAGGAGAGUCGGCAACGACUAUCCAGUGCUGGAAAGUUGGUCAAACUUGGUCACUUAGAGGAAGUAAAAGUCGUAACA